UUUGAAGCAAAAAUAUUUCAUCUUAUUUGUUAGUCCGUCAUCUUGGAAGAUGUUGGUCGGUCCCACGUAUAAUACUGAUAGAAAUAUUGGUCGAGCGAAAAGCUUUAUGAAAAGUCAAUGUUUGAUGUUCCUGCUUACUGAUCAUCUACGUACAUACUUGGUGAGAUGAAAUACAUGAUUUUGAUGAUUUUUGCGUUCGGUAAAGCCCUGUAAAGUGUACACACCAAACAUCUGCUGGGGAAUAUAUCCAUAUCACCAUAUACAUGCGUCUUAACAAAUCCUGGCCAAGGUUAAGUAUGAAAAAUUAUGUGGUUAAAAUAACUUUAUUUUCGUUUUGUAUAUAUAUAUAUAUAUAUAUUAUAUAUUUAUAUUUAUAUAUAAACUUGAACAAACAGCUUCCCCGUCACUUCAGCUGGUGACUUUCAAGAGAUCAUUCUUCCAAAAAGAAUGACUGCAUUUCUUUUCCUGGUGUAAGGUCUUAUGAUCGGAUCUGAUGUCAAUGUCACUUGCUUGACGAAGAUAAGACAUGGAUUUGAACCUGGCUUUAUAGAGGUAUCCGACGGAUAAGAAUUUCCAUGGUACUUGAACAUUUUCCUCAGCAAUAGCAAUCAUGCUUUCGCCAUCUCACUUUAUAUCUAGCUACGUUGCUUACCAGGAAAAAUGAAAACUGCAUUUUAAGAAGAAAGAAGAUAGGUUGAUGUUAAAUAUUUCAUGGUUGAGCUGUGCCAUCAAAACUGAUGAUUGAGUACAAGAUGAGGAUCAAAGAGCUGGGGUUCGCCUAAUAUGGACAAAAGAGAUGUUUGAUUAUUGUCAAGUGUUAAAUCACACACGAAGAAAGCAAAUUGCUUUUAUAUUUACAUCC
rnacentral:lncRNA from 1 species